rnacentral:rRNA from 1 species
CCUACGGGUGCAGCAGUGAGGAAUAUUGGUCAAUUGACCAGAGUCUGAACCAGCCCAGUCGCCUGAAGGAUGACUGCCCUAUGGGUUGUAAACUUCUUUUAUAAAGGAAUAAAACGAGGCACGUGUGCCUUUUUGCAUGUACUUUAUGAAUAAGGAUCAGCUAACUCCGUGACAGCAGCCGCGGUAAUACGGAGGAUGCGAGCGUUACCCGGAUUUAUUGGGUGUAAAGGGCACGUAGAUGGGUUGUUAAGUCAGUUGUGAAAGUUUGCGGCUCAACCGUAAAAUUGCAACUGAUACUGGCAGUCUUGAGUCUAGUAGAGGGGGGCAGAAUUCGAGGUGUAGCGGUGAAAUGCUUAGAUAUCACGAGGAACCCCGGUUGCGAAGGCAGCUUCCUAAACUGAGACUGACAUUGAUGCUCGAAAGUGUGGGUAUCAAACAGGAUUAGAUACCCGUGUAGUC